AUCUCUUUUCAGCCUUUUGUUUAAGAUCAAGUGUAGUAUCUGUUCUUCUCAGUUUAAGAACAUCUAGAAUAUGCUGUACACAUAUUUUUAUACCCAUCUAUAAUACAUGGCAGGGACUCUGAAGCAAGACAUGUCAGGUGACUUCUGCAGCAUGAGUCACAAAUAAA
rnacentral:snRNA from 1 species